rnacentral:rRNA from 1 species
UCCUACGGGAGGCAGCAGUGGGGAAUUUUGGACAAUGGGCGCAAGCCUGAUCCAGCCAUGCCGCGUGUGUGAAGAAGGCCUUCGGGUUGUAAAGCACUUUCGGACGGAACGAAAUCGCGCGGGCGAAUAUCCCGCGUGGAUGACGGUACCGUAAGAAGAAGCACCGGCUAACUACGUGCCAGCAGCCGCGGUAAUACGUAGGGUGCGAGCGUUAAUCGGAAUUACUGGGCGUAAAGUGUGCGCAGGCGGCCGCGCAAGUCGAGUGUGAAAGCCCCGGGCUUAACCUGGGAACUGCGCUCGAAACUACGUGGCUGGAGUGUGGCAGAGGGAGGUGGAAUUCCACGUGUAGCGGUGAAAUGCGUAGAGAUGUGGAGGAACACCGAUGGCGAAGGCAGCCUCCUGGGCCAACACUGACGCUCAUGCACGAAAGCGUGGGGAGCAAACAGGAUUAGAUACCCUGGUAGUC